rnacentral:rRNA from 1 species
GACGAACGCNGGCGGCGUGCCUAAUACAUGCAAGUAGAACGCUGAAGGAGGAGCUUGCUUCUCUGGAUGAGUUGCGAACGGGUGAGUAACGCGUAGGUAACCUGCCUGGUAGCGGGGGAUAACUAUUGGAAACGAUAGCUAAUACCGCAUAAGAGUAGAUGUUGCAUGACAUUUGCUUAAAAGGUGCAAUUGCAUCACUACCAGAUGGACCUGCGUUGUAUUAGCUAGUUGGUGAGGUAACGGCUCACCAAGGCGACGAUACAUAGCCGACCUGAGAGGGUGAUCGGCCACACUGGGACUGAGACACGGCCCAGACUCCUACGGGAGGCAGCAGUAGGGAAUCUUCGGCAAUGGACGGAAGUCUGACCGAGCAACGCCGCGUGAGUGAAGAAGGUUUUCGGAUCGUAAAGCUCUGUUGUAAGAGAAGAACGAGUGUGAGAGNGGAAAGUUCACACNGNGACGG